AUAAUUUGCACAGAGUAAAUGGCAAAGCCCUCCUCCUUCCGUCAUAUUAUCAAACAGUUGAUCGGCAUCUCUGAUCCUUUCUCUUCUCCAGACGGCAUGGACAGCGCCGACGCGAAGCGCCCUCUGCAAAAUCGCUUUGGGCGAUUCCAUUUGGCGAUACGUUAAUCCCACUCGUUCCGAUCUAUAUAUUGGUAGCAUUUGCCGUUUGGGAAGAAAUAGAAUAGGGAGCCGCAAUCGUGGAUCAGUGCGGCACUUUAGGAAUACGUCUUUUUGCUUGAUCGCCUCUGCACUUGCGAUCUUGGAUGUUGUCAACAGAGAUGAGUUGUUUCGUGAGGACAUCCCUGAAGUUUGCAACAAUCAUGAUGCUCGCCAUUACCACAGGCUUUGAACACUGGGUAUCGACUUAUAUUUUUAUAAAAAUUUAAACUACUGUUUUUUGCUUGAGAGUCCAAGAACUUUAAUUUUUAAGACUGUUUGUUUGGUUGGAUGGGUGUCGCUCAAAUUUACUGAAUUACCAGAGCAGAUGAGUGGUAUUCUUACUUAAGUAUGGCAGAUUCCAAUACCUUUUGAUUAGAAGAAUUAUGAAUUACUUAGAAUUAAACACAAAACUGGAAUAAUGCAAGGUAGCAGGCUACAUAUAUCCUAAAUAUAAGCCUAUAAUGGUCCAGUUGUAAAUUCUCUUUCUGCUAUAGGGAGAUUUGGAAGGCUUGAAAUGAUAUCAUUUUCUUCUGCAAAUAUACCGGAGAAAAGCGUGUACUUAUGGAUAAUGCAGCUGAAAUUUUAUUGCAGAUUUAAAAUCAAGAGCAAUAUGGUAAAAUUAAUAACUCGACAAAAAGAGUUUGGUAGCUAUAUUCAUAAUUCUUAGCAUUUCUCAAUCAUGUAAUUGUCUUUUUAAGGCAGUUAGAGAGGGCACCAAGGAGUGAUGCAAAUAAUGUUGUGUUUUUAUUUGUUGUAUUCUGGUGCCCAAAGCUAAAUGGAUGAAAGUCCCCUCCAUCCAAGUACAAGGUAGGAGGCUACAUGCAUCCUACAUUAGGCCAUGAUGGCCACAAGGUAUGCUCCUGCUUAUGGGAAUUCCAUUUUGCUAGUGGAGAUUUAGAAGUAUUGAAAUUAUAUCAUGUUUUGAUAAUCUCUGUUUCUAUCUAUUGCUUCAUAUGAAGUGAUUUAGUUUAUUUUCUUUUUCAAAUCUACCCCUCUUCAUACUUACUGGUCCUUUUUUUUUUAAUGCAAUGAAAGGUCACUAAGGAAUGGUGCAAAUAAAGUUGUAAUUAUUUGCUGUAUCCUGGUGCCUGAAACUAAAUGGAUGAAAGUCCCCUCCAUCCAAGUAAGAAGAGAUAGGAGGCUACAAGCAUCCAAAAUAUGUCUGUAAUGGUCCCAAUGUAUGCUCUUGCAGUUGGGAAUUCCAUUUCUGCUACUGGAGAUUUGGACCUCCUUGAAAUGAUAGCAUAUGUGCAAGCAGAUAGAUUUCUCCAGUAUCAAAAACAACGCUUGAUGUAUUUUUACAUUGCGUUUCAUUUCCAACUGUAAUUUCCCAUCCCUUCUCAAUUUUCCAUGAUAUGCUGAAAUUUUUAGUUUUACUUUUAGUUUCUCUGUUGGCCCUCCCCCAUUUUCAUCUAGUUUUGUCUCUAAGCACGAGAAGCUAUUUCUAUGGGCUGAUGAGCUGCUGACAAACUGCCUUUCAUGUGCCUUGUUGUAGGGUAUAGGUGAAACAGGUUAUGUUAUGUUUCGUUGUCGUUGCUGCAGAUUUUAUUAUAGUUUGAUUGUAGAAAAUGCAACUCAUUUUCUUUGCGGAAAAAAAUAAGACUCCACAACUUAACAAUAAAUAAGUCCGGUCAUGAUUUUGAGAUUAGUUUGGCUUGGGAAGAAUUGAUACCAUCUUACAUUGAUAGCACAUUUUCUUCAUAGGACAAAUAUCAUACUCAACUAAGCAAUAAAAAGCCGGUCCAUAGUUUUGAGCUCAAUUUAGCUUGAGAAGAAUUGAUGCCAGCUUAUGCGCUUGCCAGGUUGAUCCCUCUUAGCUUGGAGAAAUUAUUAUGUGCGGAAUCCAAAUGUGUUCGGAGGCGAAUCCGGGCAUGCCAUGUCACCGGGGCCUAGUGCAUCCGGUGAUGUGGCGCAUCCGGAUUCAUCUCCGAAUGCAUUCGGAUUCCGCACACAAUAAUUUCUCCUUAGCUUGAGUCCGAGAGCAACUUUAUUACUAGUUCCUGGAUCUAUUGUGUGCUACAUCUACUGACAGACUUUAGCCUGACAUGGUAAUAUGUGAACUUUGUCUUACGAGUUAUAGUUCUCCUACAUCCAAAGAUAGAAGGAAAUUCCCUCGGUGUAUAUGCAAUUAGCUUCACCUUUUAUUUUAACAUUAGGAGAUGAUAACAAAUGGGCAACACAAUAGUCAUUUUUUUCCUUGAUUUAGAUUGAAGCAGUCCUAAUACAAUCAUGCUAUACUUGUAAGGCAACAACGAGGGUGGACACUAUUUGGUGUAAAGAUAAACUUUCUAAUCUCCCAUCAAAACAUCACUUAUAUAUCCAAAAGCUUGUUAUUUAUAAUCAAACAAACCAAAUGUCUUGAAAUCAAUUAUUCUGCUGAAGCUGUUCAGUAUCUUUCUUUUGAGCCUAAGAUGAACCUGAUUGUCUGCCUCUCAAGAUGCAUAUUUUUAGGAAUUGUGCUGCUGACGCUCCUCAGUUCGUAGGAAAUAAUGCAAAAUAUAAAUUAGUUGAUUUUGCAUAAUAAAGUUGGAAAAAUGCAUUUUAACAUUGAUACAAGCUAAGCGUGUACCACAUUCUAAGAACAAUUUUAUAUCUUUGAAAUUUGAAUGCAUUAUGUCGUACAUGAUAUAGAUUUUCAAGAAAUGUUUAAGUCCUUAAAGUUCACAAGAAUAUAUUGAAUUUCAUGAUAGUAAAGAGAGUUGGUGGAUUUUAUGUAUUGUAGGGUCAAGUGGUGCUGCUUCAAUUUCAUCAUCCAUGUUGGAGCAUCAUGAUUUAGGAGGACGACGACGACAACAACAACAAAUCUUUAACCUAUUAUAUGGGGUCGGCUACGUGAAUUCUUUUUCUCCAUUGUGACCUUUUAGGAGCCGGUGCGGUGGCCCUUGCACAUUUGUCGUUGUAUUCAGACCAUACAUGAUACAGCGCGUCGCUGCAUUCAUGAUUUAGGAAAGCGGAUAAAAGUCAACCUCUUGAAUGAAUGUCAUGAUGCGAAUAAUGGCAUGCACAUGUUGAAUGGUGGAUUAGAGAUGAACACGUGGAUUGAUCUCAUGUUACAUAAUUUGUCAUAGUACUAGGUAUUAUCAUUGAAAUAUUUAGACUGAGGAGAUAAUCACUUAUAAAGUUAAAAAAAAAAAAUUGUGGUGGGUGCACUUUCAAUAUUAAUGGAUCCACUUCUAUGUGCAACAAAUAUCCAUCAAAGAUUUCUCAUUGUUGUUAAGUUCAUAUACCGUUUAGGAUUGUUGAGUUUGCAUGAUUCUCAAUUCUUUUGGGGCUUUAAGAGCUUGAUGAGCUCAAUUUGGCAAGGAGACAUAAGGAGAUCUAAAAUUAUAUUACAACAUUAUUGAGUUAAGUGAGGGGUUUAUUAGAGAUUUUGAUACAAUAAUUUGUUAAGAUAAAUUAUACACAUUAGAUAGACACCAUUUUGACGUUUUUCUCAUUUGUCUAGAAAUUUAAGAUUUAAGGUUUUGUUUAUUAUGAAUUAAAUCAAGAUUUCAAGAACCUUCUACUUUUGUGAAUUCCUUGAAAAUGUUUUUUUGGUUAGGUUCUACUUUUUUGAGCUUAGGAGAUAGGAGAAUUGUUAGGUACAGACAUAUGGCUCUUAAAAUAUUAUCCUGACACUAUUUAUAGUGAUAGAUCUUAUUUAUUGUGACUAAGUACAAAUGCAGAAAAUGAAGAACCAAGAUCAUGAAGGCAAAGAAGCUUGCAAGGAACACCUAGCUCUCCUUUUUAAGGGAAACCAAUACCAUCCACCAGAUCUCCAUGACUUCAAAGAUCACCAAAUUCUUCAGGAAUGGCAGAAAGAAGGCAACAAGAAGAUGGAGGAAGAUCAGUGACCAAAGUGAAAUUAGGAUCGCAAACAAAUGAUUAUCAAGAUGAAGAAGUGCUCACUGAAAGCUCAAGAAAAUGGUUGGACUUGACACUAAGUAGAGAGAACUCUUCAAGUUCUCACAGCCUGUAAUCCCCUCUUAAGGUGUUCUCCUGCAACUUCUGUACAAGGAAAUUCCAUAGCUCACAGGCCUUAGGAGGGUGAAAUUAUUAGGUGCGGACACCGAGUGUCAUCCAGAGCGCAAUGAAAAUGCAUCACAUCACACAUACAAGGUACCGCGGCUCAGUACUGCUCGAUAUUGAGCUCAGUACUGCUUGGUAUUAGAUGACGUGGCUACACCUGAUUGGCCUCUGAACAAUAAUUGUGUCAAGUGUUCGCACAGAAUAAUCUCUCUUUAGGAGAACAUCAAACAAUAAGCCUUCAGAUCAAUUCCCAUGCAUCCAAUCAACCAUCAGAACUGCAUAAGCUAGACUUGAAUCUCCAUCUCUGAUACAUUUAAAUAAAUUUGGUGCAUACUUAUUUUAGAGCAAAAUUCUUCUGUAUAAAGAUGUUCUCAUAUCAAUAUUAUCACAUAUUGUUAUGAAUA